UGGCCCUGGUCCUUGACCCCAUCAGUGACUUGUGAGGAGUUGUUCUUCAUGAGUACCUCUCAACUCUGAAAGAUGAGAGAAAGUUUAAAGGGAACGUAUAGCUGGUCUUUCUUGGCAGAUACCAACAAGACAUAUCGCCUGGUAGCACACCUAAAGAAAAUGCACUUGUUCUGUCUGAAUUAUUCAAUAGCUGAGACCAACUGGUUAAUUCAAAACCCUUGAUUUUGUGAGCUUCAUUAGCAACUUCCUUGCUCUUGGAAGGAUCCUCAGGGUUACUCAGUAAGAAAUCAUUCCUGAUUUCUUCCUGCAUGUUAACACAAUGUGACGUUUAAUUGCAGUCAGUAGAAACCUGUUUAAGAGGUGGUGGAAGUUCAGAGCUGACCUACAUUCAGAGACCUAUUUAUACUUCCCUCUCUCUGCUGGCUUUCAUGGGGAGCAUCCAAAAAAUAAGGCCAGCACUUGAAGAGAACCUCCCAUGGUCAUGAAUGGACCUCUUCCCUUAAAUAGAAGUCCCUGCUCCUGGCAAAAAGUGACCUGCCUGCUGUCAAGUAUCUCAGCUGGUUCAGAAGGAAAUCUUUGCAGAGAUGGUCUGUGCUACAGCCCUUAUGCUGACCUUGCACAAGGGGAAAACAGGAGCUUGCUUUGCACUGUGUAGAAAAAAUGACUCGAAUGUGAAUAAAAAUGAAAUAGCCCUCUUUUCAGUGAAUUACUACCAUACAUGCUUAUUUUUCAGCCGUUUCCUGAAAGUAAGUUCUGCAGUAUACACAAUAUAAAACUUGAGGAAAUUACAGCAACACACCAAUUGCAGGGUAAUUAUGCUGGGAGAACUGGAAAGGUGGGCAGCUCCCAGAGAUGUGGCUGUAUACCUGUCAAUGGUCCUAAAGCUCUAUAAAGGUCAUAUGACUGAAAUUACUCACUAGAAGACUUGUGUUGUUUUCUUCCUUUCCAAAUCAGAGGGCAAACAGGCUCAUCUAACCUUGACAUCUUUCAGAUUAACCAGAAAAACCCUCAAGGACUAGUCAUAGCUUCUUAUUCUGAAUGGCAAACCCAAUAGAUCUGCAGUACCGCUUGAUUUUAGCAGUGCCCAUCAGCUGAUAUUUUUGGUGUAUAGGUUCUACUGUUUCAAGUCUUGCAGGCAAACCUCCCCUCCCUGCCCUGCUCUCCUGCUCGUUCCUCCUCAUGCAGGCUGCUCGUCAUAUGGAGUCUUUCUAGCAACUGGAGCAAGAUCUUGUGAUGACCAGCUGGUAAAAAGAAGGAAAGUACAUUGUGUUCCUGGGCUCUCAGCUUUGCAGGGCUUACUGUCUUUGAAGACCGCACUGUUAAAUGGUAUUGAACAUCUGCCUGUUGCUACAAAUUGGCUUUUUACAAGGCAACGUUGGAGUUUUCUGGAUGUACAGUAAUUUAGAUAUUUGUUCCUUGUAAUGAGGGCAAAGACUGAGCAUCCCAUCUUACUGGGGACUGUUAUAAACUCUGUGCAAGACAGAUGCCAAGACCAUCUGCUUGAAGAAUGACAGCCUUCUUACCAGCAAGUUGCGGGAGGAUAUGUGGGAUAUUUCCCCCUCUCACAUAUGAAGAGUCCAAGAAGGAGAUGGCACAAGGCCAAAAGAACGAUCAAGUUCCCGAGGCAGAGCUCCAAGGAUGAUGGAGAUAGCUCACUUACCCGUAAACCCC